AUUGAACGCUGGCGGCAGGCUUAACACAUGCAAGUCGAGCGGGGUGAUGGUGCUUGCACUAUCACUUAGCGGCGGACAGGUGAGUAAUGCUUAGGAAUCUGCCUAUUAGUGGGGGACAACAUCUCGAAAGGGAUGCCAAUACCGCAUACGUCCUACGGGAGAAAGCAGGGGAUCACUUGUGACCUUGCGCUAAUAGAUGAGCCUAAGUCGGAUUAGCUAGUUGGUGGGGGAAAGGCCUACCAAGGCGACGAUCUGUAGCGGGUCUGAGAGGAUGAUCCGCCACACUGGGACUGAGACACGGCCCAGACUCCUACGGGAGGCAGCAGUGGGGAAUAUUGGACAAUGGGGGGAACCCUGAUCCAGCCAUGCCGCGUGUGUGAAGAAGGCCUUAUGGUUGUAAAGCACUUUAAGCGAGGAGGAGGCUCUUUUGGUUAAUACCCAAGAUGAGUGGACGUUACUCGCAGAAUAAGCACCGGCUAACUCUGUGCCAGCCGCCGCCGUAA
rnacentral:rRNA from 1 species